rnacentral:tRNA from 1 species
CAAAAUAAAGCAUUUCCAUGCAUCUCUUUUACACUGAGAAGAAAGUAUUAAUGUACUUAUUUUGU